rnacentral:rRNA from 1 species
UACGAAGGGGGCUAGCGUUGCUCGGAAUCACUGGGCGUAAAGCGCACGUAGGCGGCUUUCUAAGUCAGGGGUGAAAUCCUGGAGCUCAACUCCAGAACUGCCUUUGAUACUGGAGAGCUUGAGUCCGGGAGAGGUGAGUGGAACUCCGAGUGUAGAGGUGAAAUUCGUAGAUAUUCGGAAGAACACCAGAGGCGAAGGCGGCUCACUGGCCCGGUACUGACGCUGAGGUGCGAAAGCGUGGGGAGCAAACAGG